rnacentral:rRNA from 1 species
ACCCUACUAUGCCUAACCUAACACACAUGAAAUCACCAACUGUUCGCCAAACAACUACGAGUUAAAACUUAAAACUUAAAAGACUUGACGGUACUUCACACCACCCUAGAGGAGCCUGUCUAAUAACCGAUACCCCACGAUUAACCCAACCCACCCUAGCCCAACAGUCUAUAUACCGCCAUCGCCAGCUUACCUUGUGAAAGAAACAAAGUGAACACAAUAGCCACCACUAACACGAUAGGUCGAGGUGUAACUAAUGGGUGGGAAAAAGAUGGGCUACAUUUUCUAACACAGAAAAUACGAAUAGACUAUGAAAAUAGAAACCGAAGGCGGAUUUAGCAGUACGUUAAGGACAUAAUGCUUAACCGAAAUAAAUGCAAUGAAGUGCGUACACACCGCCCGUCAUCCCUGUAAAACCAACUAAAAUUACAUAAACACAUUAAACCUACCAAACA